UGCGCAGGCGGUUUGAUAAGCCAGAUGUGAAAUCCCCGCGCUUAACGUGGGCAUUGCAUUUGAAACUAUGUAGCUAGAGUUCUGUAGAGGGGGGUAGAAUUCCAGGUGUAGCGGUAAAAUGCGUAGAGAUCUGGAGGAAUACCGAUUGCGAAGGCAGCCCCCUGGACAGUGACUGACGCUCAUAUGCGAAAGCGUGGGGAUCACACAGGAUUAGAUACCCCGGUA
rnacentral:rRNA from 1 species